rnacentral:rRNA from 1 species
AACCAACAGGGAUUGCCCUAGUAACGGCGAGUGAAGCGGCAACAGCUCAAAUUUGAAAUCUGGCUACCUUUCGUAGUCCGAGUUGUAAUUUGUAGAGGAUGCUUUUGGUGAGGUGCCUUCCGAGUUCCCUGGAACGGGACGCCAUAGAGGGUGAGAGCCCCGUACGGUUGGAUACCAAGCCUCUGUAUAGCUCCUUCAACGAGUCGAGUAGUUUGGGAAUGCUGCUCUAAAUGGGAGGUAUAUCUCUUCUAAAGCUAAAUAUAGGCUAGAGACCGAUAGCGCACAAGUAGAGUGAUCGAAAGAUGAAAAGCACUUUGAAAAGAGAGUUAAACAGCACGUGAAAUUGUUGAAAGGGAAGCGCCUAUGACCAGACUUGUUUCUGGCAGUUUCGUUAGCCCUCGGGCUGAUUUACUCUGUCCAGUACAGGCCAGCAUCAGUUUGCUGUCGGGGAGAAAGGCUCUGGGAACGUAGCUCCCCCCUUCUGGGGGGAGUGUUAUAGCCCUCUGCAUAAUACCCUUCGGCAGACUGAGGACCGCGCUUCGGCAAGGAUGCUGGCGUAAUGGUCAUCAGCGACCCGUCUUGAAACACGGACCAAGGAGUCAACCUUAUGUGCGAGUGUUUGGGUGUAAAACCCCAGCGCGUAAUGAAAGUGAACGUAGGUGAGAGCUUCGGCGCAUCAUCGACCGAUUCUGAUGUUUUCGGAUGGAUUUGAGUAAGAGCACACAGGGUUGGACCCGAAAGAAGGUGAACUAUGCUUGUAUAGGGUGAAGCCAGAGGAAACUCUGGUGGAGGCUCGCAGCGGUUCUGACGUGCAAAUCGAUCGUCAAAUAUGAGCAUGGGGGCGAAAGA